CAGAGUUGACAUUUCCGUCCCUCCCAGAUAGAGGCGACUUCGACUUGCAAGAAGUUAUCGAUUCUCCAUACUUCUUCAAUUGACUGUCCACAGAGGCUGUGCUGCAUUCUUUGUAACUCGACCAGAGGAUAUUCCUCUCUUCAUUCACCGGAAAAGUGUCAAAGACUCGGCUGAAUUGGAAUUGAAAUCUCUGGUUUCACCCCAAUGAAUUUGUGGGCAUGGAAUUUGAUGUCUGCAAUUGCGAUGGGGCUUGGCAGUGGGAUUCCAGAAGUCGGAACCUCGUAUUUUCUUCAGUUCCGCUGAUUUCCGGAAAAUAACAAAAGGGUAAUGGUUGACGGCACCGAUUCGUUCGUUACCAUUGCUGAUUGAUCAUGGCGGUAAAAUUGGUGUACAAUCUUGUGCUCACCAGUUGAUUCAUUUUUUGUAGUAUGUGGUAUAGAACAGGGGAUUGUAACAGGGAAGAUGUAGCCCUGUUUUGUAUAAUUGUGUAUAUUAUGAGCAUUAGAGAAAUUUCCAAGGGUAUUUCAUAAAUGUUGCUUUUCAUAGGAGAACAAUAAAGACUGCAAUUGAUGAAAA